CCCUUAGACGUUCUGGGCCGCACGCGCGCUACACUGACCAGUGCAACAAGCAUCCGUCCUUGGCCGACAGGCCCGGGCAAUCUUUGAACGCUGGUCGUGAUGGGGAUAGACUUUUGCAAUUUUUGGUCUUCAACGAGGAAUUCCUAGUAAACGCAAGUCAUCAACUUGCAUUGAUUACGUCCCUGCCCUUUGUACACACCGCCCGUCGCACCUACCGAUUGAAUGGUCCGGUGAAAUUCUCGGACGCGGACUAGCGAUGUUAAUUCGGAGCUUGACUGUGAAAGUUAAUUAAACCUUACCAUUUAGAGGAAGGUGAAGUCGUAACA
rnacentral:rRNA from 1 species